rnacentral:rRNA from 1 species
CGCUGGCGGCAUGCCUUACACAUGCAAGUCGAACGGCAGCGCGGACUUCGCGUCUGGCGGCGAGUGGCGAACGGGUGAGUAAUACAUCGGAACGUACCCUGUUGUGGGGGAUAACUAGUCGAAAGAUUAGCUAAUACCGCAUACGACCUGAGGGUGAAAGUGGGGGACCGCAAGGCCUCACGCAGCAGGAGCGGCCGAUGUCUGAUUAGCUAGUUGGUGGGGUAAAGGCCCACCAAGGCGACGAUCAGUAGCUGGUCUGAGAGGACGAUCAGCCACUCUGGGACUGAGACACGGCCCAGACUCCUACGGGAGGCAGUAGUGGUGAAUUUUGGACAUUGGGUACAACCCUGAUCUUUCAAUGCCGCGUGUGUUUAGAAGGCCUUCGGGUUGUAAUGCUUUUUUUGUCUGUAAAUAAAUUUUCUGUUUAAUACUAGGUGUGUAUGUUAGUUCCGGAAGAAUUUUCUUUGUCCUUUCUACUUGCCAUCUGCCAUUUUAUAAGUUUUGUGUUAUUUUUUGUUAAAUUUUUUUUUUUUUACUUGUUACCUUUUUUUUUUUUU